UGUAGUUUAUAGAUGGAUUAUUCAUCACACUGACAAAAUAAUAUCUUUGCUUCUCUUUGUCCCCUAAACUAUCAGGUUUAGAUGUUUUGGCAGAAAAUACCACAAGAUGCCAGGACCUUCCCAUAGUACUGGAUUUAGUGAAUGGACUCCCCUGCAGCAGAAAGAAACCAGACAUUCAGGAAGAGGUGGCUUUGUUUACACUGUCACUAAACACCUGUUGUUCCAUCAACAAGUUGCCCUGCAAGGUUGUUUUUCCUUUCACAUACGAAUGUUAAAAAAUUUACGAGGAUUUGCUAAUGUGGUUUGCCUCAUGAUUGGCUGGUUGGCUGGGGAGAAAUAGUGUUGUUGCUAUUGUUUUGUGAAUGCAGUGACUGAGUGUUCCCCACAGGUCCCCAGUGUCAUCUAACAGCAACUGAAAAGAGCAGAUCUUCAUUAUAAAAGUUAUUCUUUUUGAGCAGGAUUUUACAAAGUCAGACAGGCCAGAAAAAAAAUCGCUGACAUCAAACAAGACAAAAGCAAGAGGGAGAUAAAGAAGAAUCCUCCACCGAAAACCACAAAAACAACAUUAAGGCAAAUUGCUGACUACAGGCACCUGGUUGCUAUGAUGGGAUUUCCACUGAUGCAAUAUCAGCCAAGCCUAGCUCAUCUCUCUAGACCAAUCCCACCUUUGUGUUCCUGCUUAACACUUCAAUAGCCCACCCAUGCCACAACUUUUGAAACCCCCUCCAUCCUGCCUUCAUUGUAGUCAACCUGCUGUUGCCUUGGCCCAGAGACCCUCUGUUUGUUAAGAAGGUGGUCAUUAUAUUUCUUAUAGAUGAAUACAGCCCAUAUGUAGAGGGACUCACCACAGCAGAUGGGAAAACUAAAUGGGAAGCAGGCUAAUUAAGGCCUGAUGACACCCAAAUGACAUGUGUUGCCCUUUCUUCUGAGAUUACCCAAUUUAAAACAGAAAUACAUGGUGGGGAUUAAAUCUGUUGAACCAUGUAAACCAUAAGAUAAUGCCUCAUCAAGAUUUCCUUUGUGGUGGCAUUCUGUUCACAUCCAUUUCAUUAAAGAUAAAACACAUUUCUAAUGCUGUUACUUUCUAAACACAUAUCUUACAUCCCCAGAUCUUUCAGUUUAGAGUCACUGCUGGUUGUCUAUGUCAGUUCCCUUGUACAAACUGGACCAAAGCCAGUUUUGCAUCUUAGUUUGAUUUGAACAAAAGAGGUCAGGAAGGGACCUGAGCAUCACAGAGCAGCCUUGUCUCCUGCUGCAGGUACUGCAUCCGCUCAGUGAAUGCAAAGUUUUUUGCAUAGGAAAAUACGUGUGAAGUCUUUGGGAGUAGAGGAGUGCAACCCAUAAUUGGA